AUUGUACGCUGGCGGCAUGCUUUACACAUGCAAGUCGAACGGCAGCGCGGGCUUCGGCCUGGCGGCGAGUGGCGAACGGGUGAGUAAUGCAUCGGAACGUGCCCAGUAGUGGGGGAUAGCCCGGCGAAAGCCGGAUUAAUACCGCAUACGACCUGAGGGUGAAAGCGGGGGACCGAAAGGCCUCGCGCUAUUGGAGCGGCCGAUGUCGGAUUAGCUAGUUGGUGGGGUAAAGGCUUACCAAGGCGACGAUCCGUAGCUGGUCUGAGAGGACGACCAGCCACACUGGGACUGAGACACGGCCCAGACUCCUACGGGAGGCAGCAGUGGGGAAUUUUGGACAAUGGGGGCAACCCUGAUCCAGCCAUGCCGCGUGCGAGAAGAAGGCCUUCGGGUUGUAAACCGCUUUUGUUCGGGAAGAAAUCCUCUGGGCUAAUACCCCGGGGGGAUGACGGUACCGGAAGAAUAAGCACCGGCUAACUACGUG
rnacentral:rRNA from 1 species